AUGUGGUCAGUCAUCCAAAUAGCGUCAAAUUUAUAUCCGCCCACAACUGUUGCCAAUAUUUUUGGUCAUUGGCUGGACGGUAUUUCAAAUAGGUUCAAAACGCUAAUAAGGGUGGGAGCGUAUGCCUUAAUUUGGUCGCUUUGGCUAUGUAGAAAUGAUUUUGUUUUUAAUGGAAGAAAUGCUUCUCCUCUACAGGUUAUUUUCCGCUGUACACAAUUGCUACGUAUGUGGUCUAUGUUACAACGAUCGGAGGACCAACCACUGUUCAAGGCGAUCUGUAUGCGAUUGGAGCAGGUGGCUAUGGAUGUUUUUUUUCAACAUGGGUGGCAACAUAACCUUCGGAUCGAUCCAUCACCUCCUUCGACAUAG
rnacentral:rRNA from 1 species